rnacentral:lncRNA from 1 species
UGAUCUUCGAUUGUAAUUUAAAAAAGAAACUGACAUUAACUUACAAAUACCUUUUAAAACCCUCUACAGUUAAGUAUUUGAAUUUCAAUGGCUAGCUCCCAUACUGUGGCUGAUGAUGUGUACAAGACUCGAUAAUGAACUCACCAAAAGAUGACUGAUUGAUAGUUAUAACUAACUAUCUCGACUUUAUACAAGCGAGUUGCAGCCUGCAUUGUCAGUUUUUAAAAUUUGGAUAAACAAAAAAGAAAAUAACAAAGAAAUGAAAAGAAGUGCAAGUAGAAAGGUUGUAGGGUUUAGUGUCUCAU